rnacentral:misc_RNA from 1 species
GACAGAGAACACAUACACAGAGGACAGGGAUAGCACACCCCUUCAUAUAAUAGAAAAUAACUCCAUUGAAAGCUUAAACAUCAUUAUAUGAAGGAAGUUAUGACAGAACAAAACUUCCUUCAUAUGAUAGAAAAUAACUAACCCCAUCUGAAUAAAUAGCGCCCAAUAUUUUAUUGACAGGAUGAUUAUCAUGGGCAACAUACAAAGAUUUCAAUCUGGAAACAUCUUGCUAGGCAUGAAUAGAAGGUUCUGUACAAGCACCUUAGAAGUGAGAGACAUUUUCUUAGAUAAUUACCUUUAAACCAAGAACACCUGCACUUAGGAGAGCGUCCAGAGAACUUGCAUUGAAAGCAUUUUCAGGAACUAGGCCUCCCCAGAA